GCCAUAGUGCUGUUCAUGAUGGUGAUUGUGUGGAUCCAUAGGGUAGUGGUCAUCACAUCUGCUUUACAUGCUGAAGGUUCUGGCUUCAACUCCCAGUGGGACCAUGCAGCAUAAUGUCCAACUUUUGAGGAUCUUUU